rnacentral:rRNA from 1 species
CCUACGGGAGGCAGCAGUAGGGAAUCUUCGGCAAUGGACGGAAGUCUGACCGAGCAACGCCGCGUGAGUGAAGAAGGUUUUCGGAUCGUAAAGCUCUGUUGUAAGAGAAGAACAGGUGUGAGAGUGGAAAGUUCACACUGUGACGGUAUCUUACCAGAAAGGGACGGCUAACUACGUGCCAGCAGCCGCGGUAAUACGUAGGUCCCGAGCGUUGUCCGGAUUUAUUGGGCGUAAAGCGAGCGCAGGCGGUUAGAUAAGUCUGAAGUUAAAGGCUGUGGCUUAACCAUAGUACGCUUUGGAAACUGUUUAACUUGAGUGCAAGAGGGGAGAGUGGAAUUCCAUGUGUAGCGGUGAAAUGCGUAGAUAUAUGGAGGAACACCGGUGGCGAAAGCGGCUCUCUGGCUUGUAACUGACGCUGAGGCUCGAAAGCGUGGGGAGCAAACAGGAUUAGAUACCCCAGUAGUC